UACGGGGGGGGGCAAGCGUUGUUCGGAAUUACUGGGCGUAAAGGGCUCGUAGGCGGCCAACUAAGUCAGACGUGAAAUCCCUCGGCUUAACCGGGGAACUGCGUCUGAUACUGGAUGGCUUGAGUUUGGGAGAGGGAUGCGGAAUUCCAGGUGUAGCGGUGAAAUGCGCAGAUAUCGGGAGGAACACCGGUGGCGAAGGCGGUUCUCUGGGCCUUACCUGACGCUGAGGAGCGAAAGCGUGGGAAGCGAACAGG
rnacentral:rRNA from 1 species